rnacentral:rRNA from 1 species
UGCGUAGGUGGCGUGGUAGGUCGGGUGUGAAAUUUCGGAGCUUAACUCCGAAACUGCAUUCGAUACUGCCGUGCUUGAGGACUGGAGAGGAGACUGGAAUUUACGGUGUAGCAGUGAAAUGCGUAGAGAUCGUAAGGAAGACCAGUGGCGAAGGCGGGUCUCUGGACAGUUCCUGACACUGAGGCACGAAGGCUAGGGGAGCAAACG